rnacentral:rRNA from 1 species
CAAGGGAUUUUCCCCAAUGGCCGCAAGGCUGAGGGAGCAACGUCGCGUGCAGGACGACGGCCUUCGGGUUGUAAACUGCUUUUAGGGGGAAAGAUCAUGACGGUACCCCCUGAAUAAGCCCCGGCUAACUCCGUGCCAGCAGCCGCGGUAAGACGGAGGGGGCAAGCGUUGUCCGGACUUACUGGGCGUAAAGCGCGUGUAGGUGGCAGUCUGCGUCGGCGCUGAAAGCGCCAGGCUUAACCUGGCGAGGCGUGCCGAUACGAGACCGCUCGAGGCAGGGAGAGGGUAGCGGAAUUCCGGGUGUAGUGGUGAAAUGCGUAGAGAUCCGGAGGAACGCCCGAAGCGAAAGCGGCUACCUGGCCCUGUCCUGACACUGAGACGCGACAGCGUGGGGAGCAAACCGG